CAAUUCUCUGCCUCAGCCUCCCAAAUAGCUGGGAUUACAAGCGCCCGCCACCAGGCCCGGCUAAUUUUGUAUUUUUAGUAGAGACGAGGUCUCACCAUCUUGGCCAGGCUGGUCUUGAACUCCUGACCUUGUGAUCCACCUGCCUUGGCCUCCCAAAGUGCUGGGUUUACAGGCGUGAGCCACCGCGCCUGGCUUCAUUCUUUUUUUCAGCUCACACGUGUUUCCUGAGGACCCCUCCGUUCCAGGUUCUGUGCUGGGCUCUUUGUUCUCUCCAAUUGAAAGGGUGUCUCCACUUUUGUCCCUAGUCUGGGUGCCUCUAUGGCAAUAAGGUCACGGCAACAGGGAGGAGCCGGUUCACCCCCGGCUCCGAUUUGCAAUGGGCUGUUCCCCCAGGGCAGCUGCUGCAACAACAUUUACUUUGUACAGCGGCCAAGAGAGAGAGUGAGAGAGAAAGAGAGAGAGAGUGUGUGUGAGCCUACCCCAUUCCAAAAUGUUUCUGACAAAAUCUGGCACUCCUGGUUCUAAUCAAAAUACUGAACUUUGGAACAAAUUAACAUUCCACAGCCCUCGCAGGGAAGGAGAAUUCAGCUGAGACGACUUCAGUUCACAACCACAACAAAAAUAGCUUCUCCCGGGGAAGACACAUUCUGCUAACAAGGUCACUUUUGUUUUGCUUCCCCUGCCAUCUGGUUGAGCGGCACCAGGGGCUGGCUUUGGUACCAGCUUAUUCCGCGGAGAGGGGAUGGGAGCCGGGUGGCGCUGCAGAAGGCUUCUCAGCUUCCUGGCAAGGGGCGCCAGCACAAAGUUACCUUCAGACAUCCCCAGAAAGCACGCAGGCAGAUGGAGCCCCGGUUUCACCCAGCCCGACUCUCAUGCGCUCCUCGCCUGCAGAAGGUGAGACACCAGCAGAAAGCAACAAGCAGGUGGGCGUCAGAGGAGAGCAAGAACGCGACAGAAUGGGAAAGCUAUCUUCGUCUUGCAAAACAUUCCAGAACUCCACCUAACUCACUCAGAGUCUGAGUUCCAGAAGGACAACAAAGAAGCAUGAUUUUGUUUCUUGUUUUUAUUUUUCUUCUUUUAAUUCCCCUCCUUUCUACCUUCAAGGUUCAGCUUCUUUCAGUCAUUGAUCCUGUGACCUCAGGGACACUCAAUCACCUACCUUGGCCUCAGUGUUCGCAUGUGUAGAAUGGGAAUCACUUGCGCAGACCUUAUGCAGUGAUGGGGAAGGUGAAAAGAGCAAAUGUGAUUGUCUAGGGGCCCCUGGCUGAGGUUCUUGAGAGAGAACAUACUGGAAUUCCAUGCUUUGUAGCCUACAAGGGCUUUCAUGCAGACAAUUUAGUAAGAUCCCAUGACAGCCAUCUACAGAGCUUUCACAUGACUUAAAUGGUCUGCCCCCGGUUACUUCAAU
rnacentral:lncRNA from 1 species